AGAGUUGUAGGCUUUGCCUGCUAUCUCUUACCCAUGUCUUUUGAGUACCUUCGUUUCCUCGGCGGGUUCGCCCGCCGAUUGGACAAUUUAAACCAUUUGCAGUUGCAAUCAGCGUCUGAAAAAACAUAAUAGUUACAACUUUCAACAACGGAUCUCUUGGUUCUGGCAUCGAUGAAGAACGCAGCGAAAUGCGAUAAGUAGUGUGAAUUGCAGAAUUCAGUGAAUCAUCGAAUCUUUGAACGCACAUUGCGCCCCUUGGUAUUCCAUGGGGCAUGCCUGUUCGAGCGUCAUUUGUACCUUCAAGCUCUGCUUGGUGUUGGGUGUUUGUCUCGCCUCUGCGUGUAGACUCGCCUCAAAACAAUUGGCAGCCGGCGUAUUGAUUUCGGAGCGCAGUACAUCUCGCGCUUUGCACUCAGAACGACGACGUCCAAAAGUACAUUUUUACACUCUUGACCU
rnacentral:rRNA from 1 species